GACAGAGGUGCCGAGCGUUAGGCGGAAUCACUGGGCUUAAAGCGUGUGUAGGCGGGCCGUUAAGUACCUUGUGAAAUCCCCCCGGCUCAACCGGGGAACGGCUGGGUAUACUGGCGGCCUUGAGAGACUCAGGGGCGAGCGGAACAGGCGGUGGAGCGGUGAAAUGCGUAGAUAUCGCCUGGAACGCCGACGGUGAAAACAGCUCGCUGGGGGUCUUCUGACGCUGAGACACGAAAGCCAGGGGAGCGAACGGG
rnacentral:rRNA from 1 species